UAGGUUGGGGAGGGCACUAGAUUAACGUAACUGCGAUGUUCAGCUGAACUCAGCCAGGGCACUUCAGUAUGAAAGCUCCUCUUUCACCAGUGAAGUCAUCAGUGGUAGUGGAUAUUACUACGAUUUACUAGCCAAGCCCUUAUGGCGCAGUUUCAUUCAUUGGAUUUGUGUGCAUGACACCCGUUUCUUCAUGGAUAUACUGUGUUUUCACACCUGGAGUAAUUCUUGCAAGCAAAAUGUGUCUUUGUAAACGUGAUACCUUGUGUUGAUGAUAUGCCAGACAAACCAAAGCUUAUUCAAGUAACUAUGAGCGGAAAGAUUUUGCUAGUGGGGAUCCUGUAUACACUGUCUUGUACAGUCUGUGCUGAAAUUGAUGACAAAUUAUACAAGAGCCGGCCAAAGAUCACUGGAAACUUUAUAGAUUCCACUGUCGUGCUGAAAGCUGGCGACAACUUUACUCUGCUGUGUGAGGGAGACUUUCCCUUGGAGUGGCAUGUGACUGCCCCGGGCCCACAAGAGAGGAUCGACAGUGGUGUUGCGAAGAUGGAAGUCUCUACUGGCGGCACUAACAAGACGGCAUCUCGUCUCACCCUGAGCAAUGCGCAGUACUACGACACCGGCAGCUACAGCUGCUACUACCAGGCGGACCAACGCAAGGUCCGGGAUGACUCCGCCGUCUACAUUUUUGUCAAAGAUUCACAACAUGCAUUGGUACCGAACCAGAGGAUGGGCUACCCGAUUCCUGUGCGUGUACGACACUACCGCAGUGCUAUCAUCCCUUGCCUCGUCACAGAUCCCUCCAUCAACGUCACACUCAUCAAACAAAUGGCCAACGAAGUGGUAGACAGCCGCAGUGAUGUCACUUACGACCCCAAAGUUGGCUUUACUCUCCAUUACCCGAAUUAUUACUUUGGUGGAUUGUUCUCCUGUGAGGUUGAGAAUUACACCGACUCUAUUCAAGUUGCCCUGCUUUAUAGCAAUUCACCCUCUACUCCAUAUCCCUUCAUUGAAAUCAGUCCGCCACACACACGGAUUUGGGCUGGGGAAUCUUUCACACUCACCUGUAAAGUGAACGUUGAUAGAGGUCACGUGAUUUUCAUCGAAUGGUUGUUUAAAAUGAAAGGGGUGAAGUCAAACUACUACAUAAUGAAGCCACGCAAAAAUCCGAUAAGGACUUCCAACUACAUGUACGAUGAAGUCUCAACCCAGAUAAAGGUGUUUGAUGUCAAUACAGAUGAUCAGGGCGUGUACACCUGCCAAACUGAGACCAAUCACCUCACUAAGUCAGUCUCAAAAAUACUGUAUGUCUACGAGAAAUCCGAAGUGUAUCUGAUGCCAGAGAAAGAUGUGGUUGAGACAACUCUUGGAAGUCAAAUGGCAGUGAUCCGGAUGGACAUGAACGCAUUCCCAAAGCCUGAUUUAUACUGGUAUUUCAACGGACAUCUUAUCACCAAUGAAAGCAACUUCAAGCAGUAUCAAUCCAAGGAUGAAGCAGCCUUGAAGAUUUUCUUUCCGUCGUCAGUGCAUAAUGGGAACUACACUCUCCAUGCAGUAACUGUUGACAUGAACGCCACAGCCAGUGUCAUUUUGCAAGUAUAUGGGCCACUCACAGCGACCCUCUCAGCUAAUCCCGACUACAAGUUGUUCACAACGGGGGAGAAGUACAGCCUUGUGUGUCAGACGUGUGGCUACCCCACUGGGAACAUCACAUGGUACUAUCAGGACUGCAACUCCACCUUGUGUACGGUCGAGGAGGACAGCUGGAUCCUCAUACAGCAGAAAAACUUAUCCAUGUACAGCACCAUACCUGUUGUGAAAAACGUGACUGGAAUCUAUCGUUGUGAUGUCAAAAAUGACAUUGGUGGUGAACACAAGGAUUUCAAGUUCAUUGUUACAGACCAAGUUCCCAGCAAAUCUGGCAUCAAGAUCACCUCUAGCAGAGACAAGGUCGUCAAGGGAGACGAUCUGAAACUUGAAUGCAUAGCCAGUAUCUGGAUCUACCGAAAAAUAAGCUUUCCCUGGAUGCCGUCAGCUUUGGCGUUGUAUAAUAACAGCGUGUUGGUGGAUAACACAACAGACACAACUCCUCUUAACACAACUGUUGUGUUAAACACUUCUACAACAGAUGUAGCUGUGUCCACUGAGAGCCCAAGGAUACAGAUUUUUGAAACAAGGACGGAGUACUCCUUUGUGAGGACAAUCGUGUUCCAUUCACUUCUGCCGGAGGAUGAGGGACUCUACUUCUGCAAUGGGACCAACUUUACAUCAAGUGUUACUGCUGACGUAUAUAAUCUGUCUCUGUUGCCUAUCAAGCCCCCAGCCCUGCUGGAUCAUACGUCGGGGGAGUUCAGCAUCAAGCAGCUGUCAUCCUUCUUCCUGGAUUGUGCCUUCGAUGGCUUCCCCAAACCCCAUGUCUCCUGGUAUAAGGACAGUGUCAAGCUCAAGGCUAACAACACCUUCAACAUCACCUUUACAUCCUUCCAGAAUGCUCGGCUGACUAUUGAGGAGGUAACCAAGAUCCAUGCAGGGUAUUACUACUGUGAAGGGGAAAACUAUGGAGGGAAAAUCCAGAGUUCCAACAUCACUCUGCUUGUUGGACAGCCAGUAUUGGCUGGUUUUACUGGAAUGCAUGUCGGAAUCGUUGUUGGCGUGGCAGUCGUCAUCGUGAUUAUCCUCAUCAUUGUCAUCAUCAAGGUCAGGAGUAUGAAGGCCGGAUAUCACAAGGAGUUGGAGCAGUGCCUGAUGCAGCCCAAGGGAGACUACAACCCAGACCUGCCCAUAGACGAGCAGACAGCCUGUCUCCCCUAUGACCCUAAAUGGGAAUUUCCUAAAGACAGACUUCGACUUGGUAUGAUCCUUGGUCAGGGAGCUUUCGGUCGGGUGAUGAAGGCCGAGGCGAUCGGUAUCAUGGAUUGUGAAGAUGUGUCUAUCGUGGCAGUCAAGAUGGUCAAAGACUGUACUGAUCGGGAACAAAUGAUGGCUCUGCUGUCAGAGCUGAAGAUCCUCAUCCACAUCGGUCAACAUCUUAAUAUUGUCAACCUUCUCGGAGCUGUCACCAAAAAUAUUCGCUUUGGUGAACUGUAUGUUCUUGUGGAGUACUGCCUGUUUGGAAACCUGCGCAACUACUUGAUCAAGAACCAGUCUUCCUUCAAGGACACAAUGGAAGAAUACACAGACCCUGCACUGGAGAAGAAACGUCAGGCUCAGAACGAGAAGCCAGUGCCAUAUUACGUCAACAAGGCUGCUGUGCCAGAAAACAGUGCUGAUCUGAUUGGUCCGGCACUGACAACAAAGAAUCUGAUUUGCUGGGCAUUUCAAGUAGCACGAGGGAUGGAAUACCUUGCAUCCAAGAAGUACAUCCACCGGGAUCUGGCAGCACGGAAUGUGCUCCUUGGGGAGGACAAUGUGGUCAAGAUCUGUGACUUUGGCCUGGCCAAGGACUGCUACAAGGACGCAGAAUACAAGAAGAAGGGGGAUGGUCCAGUUCCGGUCAAGUGGAUGGCCCUGGAGUCCUUCACACACAGGAUCUACACCACUAAGAGUGAUGUAUGGUCAUAUGGAGUCUUUAUUUGGGAGCUGUUUUCUUUAGGAGGAAACCCCUACCCUGGAGUUGAGAUAAACGAGAAGUUCAUAGGACUGCUGAAGUCUGGCUAUCGUAUGGAGAAACCUAAAUAUGCCUCCGAUGAGUUAUUCAAGAUUAUGGAGUUGUGUUGGCACGACGACCCGAACAUGCGGCCCUCCUUCUCCAGCCUUGUGUCAUCAAUGGGAGACUUCCUGGAAGCUAAUGUCAAACAGUACUACCUGGACCUCAACACCACAUAUGUGAAGAUGAUUGAUGAGACAGGAACAACAACCACCGCAGCUGCUGCCGGUGGUGCCGCCGCUGCUGAUGGGUACUUAAAGAUGAACGGGUCACCAGACUACACACCCAUGUGUCCAAGCUUAGCUGAACCGGAGUCCACUAGUCUUUCCGACCAUGAGGAUAACGAAGCCAAUCGCUAUAUGAAUCAGAAGAUGUGGCGGAAAGAGAAGUCCGAAGAAUAUGAACUGACACCCCUUCAUCGGCCACAUGGAGACAAGGAGAAGGCCCUGGAUAAGGCGAGGUCAGAGUCCCCAGUCCAGUUCCACACGCAAGCCGAUGUCCACAACCCUGAGGACAGCGACAGUGGUCACUCCAGCAGCUACGCGCCAGGGUCGUCACCGGUGGAAAACAAUGGCUACCUUGUGCCAAAGGCCCUGGACAGUGAGCCCCUGGUAUACCCAAUGGCUAAGCCCAAGCCAAUACCAAGCCAGGUUAACUAUCAACACAAGGAGAACUGCAGUAACGAGUCUGUGUGUACGUGUAGUUCAAGUGGGUUUGACUCGGACUAUCGCGAUGUGCCUCCGCCAGAUUAUACUGCAGUCAUGGAAGAUGCGUGCAGGCACUGAGAGUCAGUCGAUCGUCGAGAGACAGAGGUCAUACCAUAAAGGGAGACUAUCUUCAAAGGGACAUAACUCAAUGAGAGUGAGACAAUCAGGGAGAUUCAAACAUGUGAUGAUGAGCUUCACUGCUGUGGUGUUUGUUUGAGAAUUCUAGAGAGUGAAUUGUUGAUAUUGAUAUACAUGGACCAUGGCAUGUUGAUAUUAGUACAUAUGGACCAUGGCAUGUUGAUAUUGAUACACAUGGACCUUGGUGUGUUGAUAUUGAUAUAUGUGGACCAUGGCAUGUUGAUAUUGAUUGAUAUGGACCAUGGUGUGUAGUUGAUUGAUAAAUAUGGACCAUGGCAUGUUGAUAUUGAUUGAUAUGGACCAUGGUAUGUUGAUAUUGAUGUAUAUGGACCAUGGUGUGUUGAUAUUGAUACAGAUGGACCAUGGUGUGUUGAUAUUGAUACAUAUGGACCUUGGUAUGUUGAUAUUGAUAUAAGUGGACCAUGGUGUGUUGGUAUUGAUACAUAUGGACCUUGGUGUGUUGAUAUUGAUACAUACGGACCUUGGGGUGUUGAUAUUGAUGUAUAUGGACCAUGGUGUGUUGAUAUUGAUAUAUAUGCACCAUGGUGUGUUGAUAUUGAUACAUGUGGACCAUGGCAUGUUGAUAUUGAUGUAUAUUGACCAUGGUGUGUUGAUAUUGAUGUAUAUGGACCAUGGUGUGGUGAUAUUGAUACAUCUGGACCUUGGUGUCUUGAUAUUGAUGUAUAUGGACCAUGGUGUGUUGAUAUUGAUGUAUAUGGACCAUGGUGUGUUGAUAUUGAUGUAUAUGGACCAUGGUGUGUUGAUAUUGAUACAUCUGGACCUUGGUGUGUUGAUAUUGAUGUAUAUGGACCUUGGUGUGUUGAUAUUGAUGUAUAUGGACCAUCCUGUGUUUAUAUUGAUACAUAUGGACCAUGGUAUGUUGAUAUUGAUGUAUAUGGACCAUGGUGUGUUUAUAUUGAUGUAUAUGGACCAUGGUGUGUUCAUGUUGAUGUAUAUGGGCCAUGGUGUGUUUAUAUUGAUACAUAUGGACCAUGGUGUGUUUAUAUUGAUGUAUAUGGACCAUGGUGUGUUGAUAUUGAUGUAUAUGGACCAUGGUGUGUUUAUAUUGAUGUAUAUGGGCCAUGGUGUGUUUAUAUUGAUACAUAUGGACCAUGGUGUGUUGAUAUUGAUGUAUAUUGACCAUGGUGUGUUGAUAUUGAUGUAUAUGGGCCAUGGUGUGUUGAUAUUGAUACAUAUGGACCAUGGUAUGUUGAUAUUGAUGUAUAUGGACCAUGGUGUGUUGAUAUUGAUGUAUAUUGACCAUGGUGUGUUGCUAUUGAUAUAUAUGGACCAUGGUGUGUUGAUAUUGAUAUAUAUGGACCAUGGUUUGUUGAUAUUGAUAUAUAUGGACCAUGGUGUGUUGAUAUUGAUAUAUAUGGACCAUGGUUUUAGUUGAACAGAAACUCUCAAGUUGAAGUAAGCGAAGGGUGGGAACAGAUUUGUCUGUUUUUAAUGGAAAUGAGAUUGUGUAUAAAGCGCAUGAUGAUGAAGAGAUCUUUCAUUAGUCAGAAAGAGCUUCAGAAUAUGUUAGAAACAAAUGGCAUAGUAAUAUGCUCAAGAUUUGAAUCACCAGCAUAAUAUAUUGUGUAAUGGGUAGCCUAUGCCAUUCAUGUGCUCUGGUCAGGUAGGCUGAUAUACACAUAUUACAUAUAUAUAUAUAUUUAUAUAUACAAGAAAGAACCAUGUCUAGGUUUAGUGCAUGCGAUGUUGAAUACUUGUGGCCUAGGAUACACUGGUGAGUGUGAGCUGGAGUAGGCUUGCCAUCUACAAGGGUGUAACCAUGCAGUGAUACAAGGCUUGAGAUGCCGAUGUUGUACAAUACAAGGUACAUGAUACAAGAUGCUAUGUAAUACAAUGCAAGGGGAGCGAUACAGAUAUUGUACAAUAAUACAAGGUACAUGAUACAAGAUGCUAUGUAAUACAAUGCAAGGGGAGC
rnacentral:misc_RNA from 1 species